rnacentral:rRNA from 1 species
CUACGCAUGCAGUCGAACGGACUUACCCAACGGGUAACUGAAGGGUAGGUCAGUGGCGAACGGGUGAGGAAUUCAUGGAUAACGUGCCCCGGACUCAGGGAUAGCGUUGUGAAAACGACGGUAAUACCUGAUGACCCCGUAGGACCGCAUGGUCCCGCGGGCAAAGCUCCGACGGUCCGGGAGCGAUUCAUGUCCUAUCAGCUAGUUGGUGAGGUAACGGCUCACCAAGGCGGCGACGGGUAUCGGGCGUGAGAGCGUGACCCGACACAUCGGAACUGAGAUACGGUCCGGACACCUACGGGUGGCUGCGGCAACGAAUAUUCCGCAAUGGACGAAAGUCUGACGGAGCAACGCCGCGUGCAGGAAGAAGUCCCUCGGGAUGUAAACUGCUGUCAGGGGUUAGGAACACAAUGACCAACCCCAGAGGAAGCCACGGCUAACUCCGUGCCAGCAGCCGCGGUAAUACGGAGGUGGCGAGCGUUGUUCGGAAUCACUGGGCUUAAAGCGCGUGUAGGCGGAACGGCAAGUGUCGGGUGAAAGCCCUCGGCUCAACCGAGGAACGGCCUGGCAUACUGCCGUCCUUGAGGCUGACAGAGGUCACUGGAACGACGGGUGGAGCGGUGAAAUGCGUAGAUAUCCGUUGGAACGCCGGCGGCGAAAGCGAGUGACUGGGUCCGUCCUGACGCUGACACGCGAAAGCGUGGGUAGCAAACAGGAUUAGAUACCCUGGUAGUCCACGCCGUAA